rnacentral:rRNA from 1 species
AACGAACGCUGGCGGCAGGCUUAACACAUGCAAGUCGAGCGCCCCGCAAGGGGAGCGGCAGACGGGUGCGUAACGCGUGGGAAUCUACCCAUCUCUACGGAAUAACGCAUGGAAACGUGUGCUAAUACCGUAUACGGCCUUCGGGAGCAAGAUUUAUCGGGGAUGGAUGAGACCGCGUUGGAUUAGCUAGUUGGUGUGGUAAAGGCCUACACAGGCGAAGAUCCAUAGCUGGCCUGAGAGGAUGAUCAGCCACACUGGGACUGAGACACGGCCCAGACUCCUACGGGAGGCAGCAGUGGGGAAUAUUGGACAAUGGGCGCAAGCCUGAUCCAGCCAAGCCGCGUGAGUGAUGAAGGCCCUGGGGUUGUAAAGCUCUUUCACCGGUGAAGAUAAUGACGGUAACCGGAGAAGAAGCCCCGGCUAACUUCGUGCCAGCAGCCGCCGUAAAAC